CAGACCGAUAGCGAACAAGUAGAGUGAUCGAAAGAUGAAAAGCACUUUGAAAAGAGAGUUAAAAAGCACGUGAAAUUGUUGAAAGGGAAGCGUUUGCGACCAGACUCGCCUCUGGGGUUCAGCCGGCCUUCGGGCCCGGUGUACUUCCCCAGGGGCGGGCCAGCGUCGGUUUGGGCGGCCGGUCAAAGGCCCUCGGAAUGUAACGCCUCCUCGGGGCGUCUUAUAGCCGAGGGUGCCAUGCGGCCUGCCCGGACCGAGGAACGCGUUCGGCUCGGA
rnacentral:rRNA from 1 species